rfam:Loxodonta africana unplaced genomic scaffold scaffold_72, whole genome shotgun sequence.
CCCUGAGUGGUGCAAACGGUUAACACGCUCGGCUGCUAACCCAAAGACUGGAGGUUCGAGUCCACCCAGAGGCA